rnacentral:Y_RNA from 1 species
GGCUGGUCCACAGGUAGUGGGUUCUCUCAAUUGACUGUUCAGUCAGGUACAGAUUGAACUCCUUGUUCAACUCUUUCCCCCUUCUCACCACUGCACUUGACUAAUCUAAA